rnacentral:rRNA from 1 species
GAUGAACGCUGGCGGCGUGCCUAAUACAUGCAAGUCGAGCGAACAGACGAGGAGCUUGCUCCUCUGACGUUAGCGGCGGACGGGUGAGUAACACGUGGAUAACCUACCUAUAAGACUGGGAUAACUUCGGGAAACCGGAGCUAAUACCGGAUAAUAUAUUGAACCGCAUGGUUCAAUAGUGAAAGACGGUUUUGCUGUUACUUAUAGAUGGAUCCGCGCCGCAUUAGCUAGUUGGUAAGGUAACGGCUUACCAAGGCAACGAUGCGUAGCCGACCUGAGAGGGUGAUCGGCCACACUGGAACUGAGACACGGUCCAGACUCCUACGGGAGGCAGCAGUAGGGAAUCUUCCGCAAUGGGCGAAAGCCUGACGGAGCAACGCCGCGUGAGUGAUGAAGGUCUUCGGAUCGUAAAACUCUGUGAUUAGGAAAGAACAAAUGUGUAAGUAACUAUGCACGUCUUGACGGUACCUAAUCAGAAAGCCACGGCUAACUACGUG